ensembl:lncRNA
UAUCAUUCAAAUCAUGCAGGCAAAAUAAAGAAAUUCUCAAAUAAACAAGGACUGAAAUCAUUGCUACCAGACUUACCUGAUAAGAAAUUCAAAAGAAAUUCUUUCAGGCUGAAAGCAAAUGAUAUCAGACAGUACUCAAAGUCAAAAGAAGAAAUGAAGAGCAUCAGAAAUGGUUAACAUGUGGACAGAUGCAUGGAUAGACAGAUAUAUUUCUCCAAGAUUUAAUAGACUGGAAUCAGACCUCAUACCAGAUUUAUCAAUAUUGCAAAAACAAACGAUUAAUUCUGUGAGAAAACAGUUGGAUAGGCUGUAUAUUUACCGCUCCUAACACGCCCGGUUAUGUCAAACCUUGGAGUCAGGCAUCCACAGGUAUCGAAGGCAACGAAACCUGUUGAUGUCAUCCUGUAUCUGCUUCUAGCUUCUUCUAUUUUGGAGUCCAGGGGAACACAGGCCAGUAACACAUGCUCUAUGGAAUGCUUUAUAAAGGACUUGGUAUAAAAGGACAACUGGAACAACACCUGUCCAGUAGCCGUGGCCACCUGCUUUCCCCUUCAAAGGUGCGAUUUCUAAAACAGCCACCAAAGCAGUUGCUGCCUGGUCUAAGACCUGGAGAUAUGGUCCUCUGAAAAAGGCAUCAGAGAAAAACUGCCCUUGACUCUCAAGGAGAAAAGACUCUAUCAAGUAUUGUCAAUGAUUAACACAGUCAAACUCCAAGGUGUUGGUCUUUAGGCUUAUGUUGCUUGACUUAAAAGACGGACAUUUGCAUUGCAGUAGAUAAGGAGCUCUUGCACACAGAAAGCCUUUGGGAUGAAAAGAGAGCAUUUCCGACUACAAGAAAUACAUGAGGCGAGGAUAUCUGGGGGCCGGAUAAACAAAGAUCUCCUUUAAAUAACUUGCAAAGACAGUCCUGUCCUCAGCAGCCUGGGGCUCCCAGAUGUCAGAUUACAUAUCUGGUGUAAUUGAAAAUCCACCUGGAGGCAAGCAGUUGUUUACUUGGCAUUCUGGACAGCUUUACCACCAGCCCAAUGCAGAUGCUACCUCAGAAGAGCCCCCUAAAGCAAACAAAGGGUUUUUAUUUUCCCCAUCACUUUGAAAAACAACAUCUUUAUAAUUCCAAAAUGCAAUGGGUCGGAACAUUUUAAUUCCAAUUAACUUGUAGUUUUCUUUUUUUCUAAAAUAAAUUUGAAGAACAAUGGCUAAUGAGCUGCUGUACAAUAUUUGUCCUUGGCAGAGAAUGACACUCAUGGAACACUUAA